AACGAACGCUGGCGGCAGGCCUAACACAUGCAAGUCGAGCGGACCUUUCGGGGUCAGCGGCGGACGGGUGAGUAACGCGUGGGAAUAUGCCCUUCUCUACGGAAUAGUCCUGGGAAACUGGGGGUAAUACCGUAUACGCCCUUUGGGGGAAAGAUUUAUCGGGGAAGGAUUAGCCCGCGUUGGAUUAGGUAGUUGGUGGGGUAAUGGCCUACCAAGCCGACGAUCCAUAGCUGGUUUGAGAGGAUGAUCAGCCACACUGGGACUGAGACACGGCCCAGACUCCUACGGGAGGCAGCAGUGGGGAAUCUUAGACAAUGGGGGCAACCCUGAUCCAGCCAUGCCGCGUGAGUGAUGAAGGCCUUAGGGUUGUAAAGCUCUUUCAGCUGGGAAGAUAAUGACGGUACCAGCAGAAGAAGCCCCGGCUAACUCCGUG
rnacentral:rRNA from 1 species